UGCAUGGUGGUGCAGUUGGUAGCACGGUUGUCUUGCAGAGAGAAAGUUCUGGGUUCUAAUCCCGUCUGGGGUCUUUCUGCAU